UACGAAGGGGGCUAGCGUUGUUCGGAAUCACUGGGCGUAAAGCGCACGUAGGCGGAUCUUUAAGUCAGGGGUGAAAUCCCGGGGCUCAACCUCGGAACUGCCUUUGAUACUGGGGAUCUCGAGUUCGGGAGAGGUGAGUGGAACUGCGAGUGUAGAGGUGAAAUUCGUAGAUAUUCGCAAGAACACCAGUGGCGAAGGCGGCUCACUGGCCCGAUACUGACGCUGAGGUGCGAAAGCGUGGGGAGCAAACAGG
rnacentral:rRNA from 1 species